ensembl:lncRNA
UAGCAUGCAUCAUGGUUACAUUAAACUAACAUGUAUCAUGGUUACAUUAAACUAACAUGUAUCAUGUUACAUUAAACUAUCAUGCUGCAUUAAACUAACAUGUAUCAUGGUUACAUUAAACUUUAGCAUGCAUCAUGGUUACAUUAAACUAACAUGUAUCAUGGUUAUGCUGAAUGAUAGUGACUGCUGUCCUGACAUGUUGUUGUAUUGUUUAUCUCUUUAUAGAAAAGGCUAAUCUAAUACGUGAGAAGGUAAGUGUUGUUACUGGUUUGAUACAGAACACAAUAAUAUGUGUGACCCUAGCUGGCAGUGGUGGAGUUAUUAGAUGAUGACCUUGUAAUGAACCCAAUGUUGAUAUUUUAUUUACAUUUUUAUUUUUUAGCAAAAGAAAAAACGGAAACUGGAUAGGGAGUUAACUGAAUUGAUUGAUCAACUUAUGGAGGAAACAAAGGAACAGAAGAUGAAGUUAACUGUACCUACUACUGACUGUCCUGAACCAACCAGGGACCAACAAGAACAUACCACAACUACCCCUGAUGCAACUAUGGAUGAUCAUGAUGGUGACCAGAGUCUGGGUCCAGCCCCUCCCUUAAGCCCCACACAAGAUGGAUCUGUGUCAGUCUCAGUCCAUCAGGAGGACCAUCAGCCUGUCCCCAUCAAGAGAGACCAUGGAGCCUCCCAGUCCACCCUCCUCAGUCUGGGUCCCCUCCCCUCCCCUCCCGGUCCACCCUCCUCAGUCUGGGUCCCCCUCCCCUCCC